rfam:Streptomyces ambofaciens ATCC 23877, complete genome.
CUUGAUGGAGCCCAGGUACAGGGGUUCCGCACGCUCCUGGCCGUAGGUGGCCAGCAGCGCCUGCGCCUC